ACAAACCUUUCCUACCACAGUCUGGCAAGAUGAUCUCACACAAGCCCCUUCUCUGGCUGCUGGUUCUCUGGAUUCAGGACUCCUCUGGGCAAAUUGUGAUGACUCAGUCCCCGGAAUCUUUGGCAGUGCCAGUGGGAGGGAGAGUCUCUAUCAACUGCAAAACCAGUACAAGCAUUGGGAGUAACAUAAACUGGUACCAACAGAAACCUGGACAACCUCCUAAACUUCUUAUCUACUACGCCACCAGCCUCCAGUCGGGGGUCCCAGCCAGGUUCAGCGGCAGUGGCUCUGGCACUGAUUUCACAUUCACAAUCAGCAGCGUAGAAGCUGAUGAUACUGGAGAUUAUUACUGUCAGCAGUUUGGCAGCUUCCCUCUCACAGUGAUACAGACCAGUACAAAAACCUCCCUGUUCUCUGUUGCGUGCAAUGUAGUCAACGUUUGUUGUGGAUGUAACUGUCUGCAUUUCAAAUGUUCUGUCAAACAUGAAAUAAGAAGGUGA